UGCAAGUCGAGCGAACAGGAUAAGGAGCUUGCUCCUUUGAAGUUAGCGGCGGACGGGUGAGUAACACGUGGGUAACCUACCUAUAAGACUGGAAUAACUUCGGGAAACCGGAGCUAAUGCCGGAUAACAUAUAGAACCGCAUGGUUCUAUAGUGAAAGAUGGUUUUGCUAUCACUUAUAGAUGGACCCGCGCCGUAUUAGCUAGUUGGUAAGGUAAAGGCUUACCAAGGCGACGAUACGUAGCCGACCUGAGAGGGUGAUCGGCCACACUGGAACUGAGACACGGUCCAGACUCCUACGGGAGGCAGCAGUAGGGAAUCUUCCGCAAUGGGCGAAAGCCUGACGGAGCAACGCCGCGUGAGUGAUGAAGGUUUUCGGAUCGUAAAACUCUGUUAUUAGGGAAGAACAAAUGCGUAAGUAACUGUGCGCAUCUUGACGGUACCUAAUCAGAAAGCCACGGCUAACUACGUGCCAGCAGCCGCGGUAAUACGUAGGUGGCAAGCGUUAUCCGGAAUUAUUGGGCGUAAAGCGCGCGUAGGCGGUUUCUUAAGUCUGAUGUGAAAGCCCACGGCUCAACCGUGGAGGGUCAUUGGAAACUGGGAAACUUGAGUGCAGAAGAGGAAAGUGGAAUUCCAUGUGUAGCGGUGAAAUGCGCAGAGAUAUGGAGGAACACCAGUGGCGAAGGCGACUUUCUGGUCUGUAACUGACGCUGAUGUGCGAAAGCGUGGGGAUCAAACAGGAUUAGAUACCCUGGUAGUCCACGCCGUAAACGAUGAGUGCUAAGUGUUAGGGGGUUUCCGCCCCUUAGUGCUGCAGCUAACGCAUUAAGCACUCCGCCUGGGGAGUACGACCGCAAGGUUGAAACUCAAAGGAAUUGACGGGGACCCGCACAAGCGGUGGAGCAUGUGGGUUUAAUUCGAAGCAACGCGAAGAACC
rnacentral:rRNA from 1 species